rnacentral:rRNA from 1 species
AUGAACGCUGGCGGCGUGCCUAAUACAUGCAAGUCGAACGCUUCACUUCGGUGAAGAGUGGCGAACGGGUGAGUAAUACAUAAGUAACCUGGCAUCUACAGGGGGAUAACUGAUGGAAACGUCAGCUAAGACCGCAUAGGUGUAGAGAUCGCAUGAACUCUAUAUGAAAAAUGCUACGGGACUGGUAGAUGAUGGACUUAUGGCGCAUUAGCUUGUUGGUAGGGUAACGGCCUACCAAGGCGACGAUGCGUAGCCGACCUGAGAGGGUGACCGGCCACACUGGGACUGAGACACGGCCCAGACUCCUACGGGAGGCAGCAGUGGGAAUUUUCGGCAAUGGGGGAAACCCUGACCGAGCAACGCCGCGUGAAGGAAGAAGUAAUUCGCUAUGUAAACUUCUGUCAUAGAGGAAGAACGGUGGAUAUAGGGAAUGAUAUCCAAGUGACGGUACUCUAUAAGAAAGCCACGGCUAACUACGUG